rnacentral:SRP_RNA from 16 species
ACCCGGAGGCGGAGAAGAAGAAGGCGGCCAAGAGGAAGGCAGAGAAGGAGGCGGCUAAGGGGAAGGGGAAGAAGGGAGGGGGGUUUCACAAAAAGAGGUGAGCAGAGGGUGCGACCCGCCUUUUCCUCUCGGUGGAGUG